GGCCAGUCGGGUCUUACCAUGCAGUCGAGCGGAAGGCCCUUCGGGGUACUCGAGCGGCGAACGGGUGAGUAACACGUGAGCAACCUGCCCCAGGCUUUGGGAUAACCCCGGGAAACCGGGGCUAAUACCGAAUAUGACCUCCGAUCGCAUGGUUGGUGGUGGAAAGUUUUUCGGCUUGGGAUGGGCUCGCGGCCUAUCAGCUUGUUGGUGGGGUGAUGGCCUACCAAGGCGACGACGGGUAGCCGGCCUGAGAGGGCGACCGGCCACACUGGGACUGAGACACGGCCCAGACUCCUACGGGAGGCAGCAGUGGGGAAUAUUGCACAAUGGGCGGAAGCCUGAUGCAGCGACGCCGCGUGAGGGAUGACGGCCUUCGGGUUGUAAACCUCUUUCAGCAGGGACGAAGCGUAAGUGACGGUACCUGCAGAAGAAGCGCCGGCCAACUACGUGCCAGCAGCCGCGGUAAGACGUAGGGCGCGAGCGUUGUCCGGAUUUAUUGGGCGUAAAGAGCUCGUAGGCGGCUUGUCGCGUCGACCGUGAAAACCUGGGGCUCAACCCCAGGCCUGCGGUCGAUACGGGCAGGCUAGAGUUCGGUAGGGGAGACUGGAAUUCCUGGUGUAGCGGUGAAAUGCGCAGAUAUCAGGAGGAACACCGGUGGCGAAGGCGGGUCUCUGGGGCCGAUACUGACGCUGAGGAGCGAAAGCGUGGGGAGCGAACAGGAUUAGAUACCCUGGUGUCCACGCCUGUAAACCUUUGGGCGCU
rnacentral:rRNA from 1 species